GACGAACGCUGGCGGCGUGCUUAACACAUGCAAGUCGAACGGAAAGGCCCUGCUUUUGUGGGGUGCUCGAGUGGCGAACGGGUGAGUAACACGUGAGUAACCUGCCCUUGACUUUGGGAUAACUUCAGGAAACUGGGGCUAAUACCGGAUAGGAGCUCCUGCUGCAUGGUGGGGGUUGGAAAGUUUCGGCGGUUGGGGAUGUACUCGCGGCUUAUCAGCUUGUUGGUGGGGUAGUGGCUUACCAAGGCUUUGACGGGUAGCGGGCCUGGGAGGGUGACCGGCCACAGGGGGAGAGAGAUACGGCCCAGACACAUACGGGAGGCAGGAGUGGGGAAUGUUGCACAAAGGGCGGAAGCAGGAUGCAGAAACGCAGCGUGCGGGAGGACGGCAUUCGGGUGGUAAACCGAUUUCGCCUGUGACGAAGCGUGAGUGACGGUAAUGGGUAAAGAAGCACCGGCUAACUACGU
rnacentral:rRNA from 1 species